GCUGCAGGUGUCCGGAAGUAGCGACGGCGUGCUCCCCGAAACAACCACAACAAUGAGAGCCAUCGUUCAGAGGGUCACCAAGGCCAGCGUGACAGUGGGAGAGGAGCAGGUCGGCUCAAUCGGACGUGGACUCUGUGUGCUGCUCGGCAUCUCGGUGGAAGACACCCAGAAGGAUGCCGACUACAUCGUGCGUAAGAUCCUGAACCUGCGGCUGUUCGAGGACGAGAACGGCCGAGCGUGGACCAAGAGCGUCAUGGACCGGGACCUGGAGGUCCUGUGCGUGAGCCAGUUCACCCUGCAGUGCAUCCUGAAGGGCAACAAGCCGGACUUCCACGCGGCCAUGCCGGCAGAGCUGGCCCAGCCCUUCUACAACAGCAUCCUGGAGAGCAUGAGGAGCAGCUACAAGCCGGAGCUCAUCAAGGACGGGAAGUUCGGCGCCUACAUGCAGGUCCACAUUCAGAACGACGGACCUGUCACCAUCGAGCUGACGUCUCCCGCCGGUCCAACAGACCCCAAACAGCUGUCGAAGCAGGAGAAGCAGCAGCAGAGGAAGGAGAAGACUCGCUCCAAGGGUCCGUCGGAGUCGGGCAGGGAUAAGGGCGCCCUGCGAUCCCGCCAGGACCACAACGCCAGCAGCGGGGCGGAGGGCGACGUGUCCUCAGAGAGGGAGCCUUAAGUCGGCAGGAUGUCGCACUGGGGACGUGACGGUGAGCCCAGUUUCCUCAGGAAGGCUUUUAAUCCUCAGAGACUCUCAACACCUGAUCGCCGACUGUCCUCCUUCUUGUUGGGAAAUCAGCAGGAUUCUGUCGCAGAACGUCGUCCCCCUCGCCGGUGUCCUCGGCCUCCCUCCUCCAGAAAUCAGACAGGUGUGGCGGAGACGACACUGACGGCGCCCAGUUUUCUUAGAUUUACGACGGGAGAUUGAACACGGGUGUCAUGGGACGGAGCGGACGUCAACAGCGCUGCACCGUGUGGCCCACUAGCUUUGUGUACUCUCUUUUUUUUUCCCACGCACUGCCUUUCUUUCCAUGUUUCUACCUCCAUCUGUCUCUGUCUCUCUCUCUUUCAGACUCCCCCCUUGCCUGUUCCCACUUAAUCUCUGCUUAGAGACAUGGCACCGACCCUGAAGCAUAGCUCAGCUCCAAGUCCUUGGCUUAUAGUGCCGGCACAAGAACAUCAGGGCAGUGAGAACGUAACAGCCUCUCCACACUGAUUGCAGCAGCGACACCACCGCCGCCACAUGAUCGGCACAGUUACAUAUGUGCAGUCUGCUUUUUAACGGCUGCUGCACAUUUUUGAGUCGACUGCAUGUUUUAAGGUCAAACUGAAAUUGCUACAAGAGUCUACGCUGUAAUUUACAUGCUAAAAAUCAAUAGGCAGAAGGAAGAGGGGUAUAUUCUUUAGCUCGCAAACACACAAAAAAAGCCUUCAACUGUUCACUCCAACUAUAUUAACACCCACUUGACCUGGUACAUGCAUGGACACACCUGGUGUUGCGUCUUGACUUGCUAAAUUAGCUGCAGGUACAGUGCAUCGCUAACAACUGCAGGCUUAACAGCUACUUGGCUAAUUAGCUGAAUGCUACCUUUAGAAAGCUAACUCUUUAAUGCCACUGCUAAUGCAAAACAAUGAUCCACCAGUGGAGAAGUACAUUGCUAACAAUAUUAGUUUACAGGCUAACAGCUAAAUAGAUAGUUAGCCAAAGAGCAUAAAGCUUAAAAUCAAUUGGAUUAUUUAGUUUGCAAACAACUGUAGUCAUUAGUCUUUUAUUUCACUGCUAACACAAAAAACAGUCUUCAACUUUCUAGCUUCUGGCCUUUUUAGCUUCUAGCCUUUCCAGCCCAUCCUAAGCAUGCGUACAUUUUGUGUUGCACACUAACUCACUUAAUUAGCUAACAAACAUCCAUCAAGGGAAACGUGCAUUAAUUUUCAGGCUAAUAGCUUAAAAACUUCUUAAAUUGACAUUGGAUUACUUAGUUGCUACCAAUUGUGGUUGUUAAAAAUGACUCUUCUAUGCCACUGCUAACACAAAAAAUAGCUGUUAACGUUAAACAACAAACAUACAUUAGCUUUCUUGCUAAUGUCCUCGUUUUGUGCAUGGACAAAUCUUGUAUUGCAUGCUGACUUGCUAAAUUAGCUAACAAACAUCCAGCAGGGGGGAAAGUGCAUCGCUGACAACAUUAGUGUACAGGCUAAUAGCUAAAUAGCUUGUUAGCCUAUAUCUUAAAAACUUCACGGGAUUAUUUACUUGUUACUCUUUGAUGCCAUUGCUUACACAAAUAUAGCCCUCAGCUUUAAACAACAUAUUAGCUGUCCUGAUAAUGUAGCAUUAGCAUCUGUUAGCAUCUUAGUCAUGCAGUGUUUAGCAGUUAAGUUAAAGCUUUAUGGCCAGUAUCCUCUUUUCCUUGUGCAUACAUGGGCACAUCUUCUGUUCCAUCUUGGUUUGCUAAAUUAGCUAACAGCCAUCAGGGGAGAAGUGCACUGCUAACAACAUUAGCUUACAGGCUAAUAGCUACUUAGCUAGUUAGCAGAAACCUAAUCCUCCUCAUUAUCACUGCUAACAAAAUGCUAUCCGUCUUUAGUGGUGGUGCUUUGCUAACAUUGUGUGUUUACUCUGAUACCAUUUUUGAACCCUUUAAAUCAUAAAUGUCCUUUCAAUAAGAGACGGGUACAAGCAGAGCAGCACAUUUUAUCAUUAUUUUGCCCCGAUGUAAAAAUCUGACAGGUAGUUCUGAUUUCAGUUGGACUUUAAAUCGUAAAAUGUCCCCUUCGUAUCUCAGUCUGUUCUUCGUUUCAUCGUCCAGCCAGACCUGCUCUGAUAAAGGGAUUGUUCUGCAGGAAGCUUCGCUGGUCGCUCCGGCUGUAGUCGAUUUUAAGAUCGAGCGGCUGCGACGUCGUGAGUCAGUUUGUCUCGGUUACCUGCACUUCACCUGUGUGGAGAGGGACAGCUGUGCUUCACUAUCGGCGAGCAGAGGCACUUGUGUGGGCACCGCAUCCACUGUUUAUUCAUGUUCCUCAUUCUGACACUCUCCUGCUGUCACUUGACAGAUCUGAAUGUACAUUUUGUUGUCGUUUUAUAAAGACGUGAACAGAAAAAAAACGAG